rnacentral:piRNA from 1 species
UCCAAAUGUAGGGAUGCAUACUCUCGAG